AUUCAACUGACGAGUCCCAAAUAAGAUAAAACACCCGUCCUGGAU
rnacentral:hammerhead_ribozyme from 1 species